AAAAAUAUCUCAACUUAAUGAUAUUAACAAAAUGAUAUACUCAGCUUAUCAAAAAAAUAUUGUUUGUCAUAUUAAAAUUUUUUGGAUACCGAAAAUUGACCUGAACUACCGGAGAGCAUACAUGGCUUGCCUACGUGGACUUAUUAGUCUACAUAAAAAAUGAUUGUAUAUUAUGCAAAAAAAGAAAAUUGAAAUAAAUAGAUCAAAUAUCAUAAAUGACAUCGUCCGACCCUUGUUCCC
rnacentral:lncRNA from 1 species